rnacentral:rRNA from 1 species
AGUGAACGCUGGCGGCAGGCCUAACACAUGCAAGUCGAGCGGCAGCGCGGGGGCAACCCUGGCGGCGAGCGGCGGACGGGUGAGGAAUGCAUCGGAAUCUACCUCGUUGUGGGGGGAUAACCUCGGGAAACCGGGACUAAUACCGCAUACGACCUACGGGUGAAAGUGGGGGACCUUCGGGCCUCACGCGAUGAGAUGAGCCGAUGCCGGAUUAGCUAGUUGGCGGGGUAAAGGCCCACCAAGGCGACGAUCCGUAGCUGGUCUGAGAGGAUGAUCAGCCACACUGGAACUGAGACACGGUCCAGACUCCUACGGGAGGCAGCAGUGGGGAAUAUUGGACAAUGGGCGCAAGCCUGAUCCAGCCAUGCCGCGUGUGUGAAGAAGGCCUCGGUUGUAAG